rnacentral:rRNA from 1 species
UACGUAGGGUGCGAGCGUUGUCCGGAAUUACUGGGCGUAAAGAGCUCGUAGGUGGUUUGUCACGUCGUCUGUGAAAUUCCGGGGCUUAACCUCGGGCGUGCAGGCGAUACGGGCAAUACUUGAGUGCUGUAGGGGAGACUGGAAUUCCUGGUGUAGCGGUGAAAUGCGCAGAUAUCAGGAGGAACACCGAUGGCGAAGGCAGGUCUCUGGGCAGUUACUGACGCUCAUGCGCGAAAGCUGGGGUAGCGAACCGGAUUAGAUA